UGGCUAGAUUCUUUUGUGACCACCUCCGAGUGGAUGGUUCAUGUGAUUCUCGUGUACCCAAAGCUUAACGGAUGGAUAUUGAAGCUAAACGGGAGGUUUUCGGGAAGAUUUAUGAAGGUUAGAAGCUUACACACAAGUUAGGAGUUGAAAAAUGCGAAAAAUGGUGAGAAACCAGUACUUGGCGCAAGAAGAAACCAGUUUGGCGCAACCUUGUGUCAGUUUGGGCGCAAUACAGAUGCUAGUCAGUCAGGGGCGCAACCUUGUGCCAGGGGGGGCGCAACCUUGCGCUGACAGCAGAUAGUCACGCGAAAAUUCAGGAUUUCACUUUAUUUUAAGAUAUCUUCAACCUCAAAACGAGAUAUUCCCUAACCCUAGCCGUUUUCCACUUCCCAAGGAUGAAUUUUUGAGUUCCCAACCUCAAUUUUCAUCAAUCUUUCAUGCAAUCAAACAUCCAAGACAACCAAGAAGAUCAAAUCAUGACUAUGAGUGGCUAGAUUCUUU
rnacentral:lncRNA from 1 species